AGCCCCAAAGUUUUAGCCGCGCUAGGAGAGCUUCCGAGGCAAGUUUUGGAGAGUUUCGGUAAAGAAAAACAAGUUGGACAUAAGCGUAGCUAGUAAGGCGCGGCACAGGUACACCCAGACAAGUAGAAGCUACUAUAGAAGAUGUUCCAGCGGGGUUGGCAACUCCACUUGUUCUGGAGUGCUGCCGAGUCA